rnacentral:tRNA from 1 species
UGGCUCAGCUGGUUGAGCAUCUGACUUCAGCUCAGAUUAUGAUCUCGCUGCUUGUGAGUUCAAGCCUCAC